rnacentral:tRNA from 1 species
UCUCAUGUGGUUUAGUGGUUAGGAUUCAUGACUUUCACCCAUGCUGCUCGGGUUCGAUUAUUGGCAUGGGAA